UACGUAGGGUGCGAGCGUUGUCCGGAAUUACUGGGCGUAAAGAGCUCGUAGGUGGCUUGUCGCGUUGUUCGUGAAAACUCACAGCUCAACUGUGGGCGUGCGGGCGAUACGGGCAGACUAGAGUACUGCAGGGGAGACUGGAAUUCCUGGUGUAGCGGUGGAAUGCGCAGAUAUCAGGAGGAACACCGGUGGCGAAGGCGGGUCUCUGGGCAGUAACUGACGCUGAGGAGCGAAAGCGUGGGGAGCGAACAGG
rnacentral:rRNA from 1 species